UGGGAGAGAUGGUGGAAAAUUAUAAGAUUCAUCUAUAUAAAUUCAUACUAAUGGAGUGCAGGAGCAGCUACCUCCCUUAGACGGCAAAGAAAAUCAAUUAGAUAUAGAUCUUAAUAGGAAGAACAUAUCUCAAAUAAUUUUUGAACUUGCUUUGAGUGUGGUUACUUAUAGAAUAUUUGAAACAUGGAGUACAAUGAAUUUUCUUCUUAAAAUAUGUCAAAUGGCAUAAAGAAAUCAUGAGGGUUAUUUGAAAGGUCUCAACAUUGUCAUAUUAUAUGUGUUCUUGCUUGAAAAUGCAUCACGUGCCUAGUUGUAGAAGAUAAUUAGAAAUGCAAGAACAAUCCUAUCAAGUCUAAUAGACUCUUAAAUAACCUUAAGUAGAUCUUAAUAAUUUUGAUCAAAAUUUAAUCAAUUCAAAAUAAAUUCAAAAGAAGUUAUAAAAGAAAUACAAAGAAGUUCUAAACCAAUUCUAAAGAAAAAUAAUUAAAAAUAUUAAAGAAAUAUAAAAAUAAAACUUUAAAAAAAUUACAGUAAUCUCAAAGAAAUAUUAAAAAUUUAAAUCUUUAAAGAAGUAAUAAAUAAUCCUAAAAAAAAUUAAAAAUAGAAAUCUUAAUAUAAUCCUAAUUGAAAUCCUAAUUAAGCCUUAAUCAAAUCUUAUGUUAUAUCCUAAUAAAACUCUAAUAAAAUUCUAAAUCCUAGAUAAAUCCUAAAAAAAUCUUAAUCAACCUUUAGUGAAUUUCUAAACCAAAUUCUAAACAAAUCUUAAUCUUAAUCAAACCCUAGACCAAAUCUUAAGUCUUAACCAAAUCAUAGACAAAUCUUAAAUUUAAUCUUAUAGAAAAUUGGAAUCUUAACAACUAAUAAUCAAACCAUUGAUAUCAAUUCAAAAUUUUCAUACUUCUUAAUAUACUAAGCAUAAGAAGGAUGAAAUCAAUUGCACUUAUCAAUUGAGAGAAACACAAGAUAAUUCAAAAGGGUAUUAGGUGGCCUCCUACUCCAACCUAAAUGCUGAACUUCUAACAUCUAUACCUCCUUGAAUCAUUGAAUUACUCUCAAAUUUCACAUAAACAUUGGAAAUCAAGUUUAAUAUCC
rnacentral:lncRNA from 1 species